ensembl:lncRNA
CACAACACACAUUGUACAUGGAUCAGAACAUUCAUGAUAUUGCACUUUACAUUUUAUAAAACACUCACCUAUAUUUUCUCUUUGAUCUUCAGAAAAGCGCUGGGAAGUUUAAGGACAGGUAGUCACCAUGUUACAAAUGAAGUGCCUGAGGUUAAAUGCAGUUAAAUGGUGUUCCCAAGACCAUAGAGCUGGUCUGAGUUAAUCUUUUCAAACCCUUAGCUCUCCUCCACCUCUGCACUGAUGCCACAUGCUCCACACAGGUGUCCAAAAUAUUGGUUCUUAAACUUGACUGCACCUUGGAACUACCUGGAAAACUUAAACACAAAUACCUGGUCCCACCCUCGGAGAUUUUGAUUUAACCACUCUGAAGUGUGACCUGGGAACUAGGAUUUUUUUUCUCAGUCCCUCUCUUCAUUUUCAAUUAAACUUUUAUUGUGAGAUAACAGUAGAUUGAUGAGAAGUUGUAAGAAACAAUACAGAGAGAUCUCAUUUUUUCCUUCAGUAGUAACACCUUGCAAAAUUGUAUUAUAAUGUCACAAUCAUAAUACUGACACUUAUCCUGUCAAGAUGCAGAAUAGUUUCACCAUCACAAGAAUCUCUUGAAUUUUCCUUUUAUAGCCACACCCAGCUCCCCCUACCUACCCUACCCUACCCAUCUCUAACUCCUGGUAAACAGCAAUUGUUCUCCACACAUGUCUGGUCUAUAAUCCUCCACUCUACCAGCUGAGCUAUGGAAGGGUCCAUUCUGUUCUCUCUCUCUCUCUCUCUCUCUACAUAUAUAUAUAUAUAUAUAUAUAUAUACACACACACACACACAUAAUUAGGGCUGCACCUGCAGCAUAUGGAAGUUCCCAAGCUAGGGGUCAAAUUGGAUCUGUACCUGCCAGCCAACACCUCAGCCACAGCAAUGGUGGAUCCGAGUUGCAACUGUGAACUAUGCCACAGUGUGAGGCAACGUGGGAUCCCUAACCCACUGAAUGAGGCCAGGGAUGGAACCUGUAUCCUCAUGGAUUCUAUGUAGUGUUCUUAACCUGCUGAGUCACAAUGGGAACACCUCCAUUUGUAUAAUUUUUUGUCAUUUCAAGAAUGUUAUAUAAAUGAAAUCAUGCAGUAUGUGACAUUUGGGGAUUGGAUUUUUUUUUUCACUCAUCAUAAUUCCCUGGAAAUCCAAGUUGCUGCAUGUUUCAAUAGUUCAUUCCUUUUUAUUGCUGAGUAACAUUCCCUGGCAUGGAUGUACUGUCUGGCUUAAGGACAUCUGAGUUGUCUCCAUUUUCUGGUUAUUAUAAAUAAAACUGUUAUGAACAUUUGUGUACAGGUUUUUAUGCAAAGAUAAGAUUUAGUUUAUCUUGGAUAAAGGCCUGAGUGCACUUGCUGAGCAGUCCAUGUUUAGUUUUAGAAAAAACUUCCAAACUAUUUUCUAAAAUGACUCUAUCAUUUUACAUUCCUAAAGCAAUAUAUGUUUGAGAAAUCUGCUUUCUCACCCUCACCCUUUUUUUCUUAAAAGCCAUGCUGAUGUGUGAUAGUUCUCAUUGUGGUUUUAAUCUACAUUUAUUUCUCUAAUAGCCAAUGAUGUUGAGUAUUUUUUCAUGUGCUUAUCUGCCACUUGUAUACCUUUUUAGUGAAAUGUCUAUUCAUGCUUUAUGUCCUUUUUUUAAAUUGGAUUGUUUUAUCUUUUCUGCACCAUGUGGAAGUUGUGGGGCCAGGGAUCAAAUCCAUGCCACGGCUGUGACCUAAGCCACAGUAGUGACUCAAGCCACAGCAGUGACAUGCCAUAUCCUUAACCCACUAUGCCACCAAGGGAACUCCUAAAUUUGAUCGUUCUUAACUGUUCAUUUUUGAGAAUUCUUUACACGUUCUAGAUACUAUUCCUCUGCUGGAUAUAUGCUUUACAGAUAUUUUCUCCCAGGCUAUAGAUUGCCUUCUGUUUGUUUAUUUAAUAGAUUUUAUUUUUUAGACAGUUUUAAUAUUUAGAGAAAAGUUGAGCAGAUAAUAUAGAAAGUUUCCAUGUACCACCCCCACCCACUCAUACAUAUUUUUCCCUAUUACUGACAUCUUGCAGUAGUGUGGCAUAUUGGUAAUAAUUAAUAGACCAGUAUUAACAUAUUAUUAUUAACGUCCAUAAUUUUUAUUGCUGAAUAAUGGUUCAUUGUGGAGAAGUACCAUUAAUCUAUUGAAGAACAUCUCAGUCACUUCCAGGCUUUGGUCAUUGUGAGUAGAGCUGCUGUAAACAUUCAAAUUUAGGUUUUUAUGUGGACAUAAGUUUUCAGUUCAAUAAAUAGUACACCUAGGAGUGUGAUUGUUAAAUUAUAUGGUAAGAAUACAUAUAGCUUGGUUAAAAAAAAAAAAAGCCUUUUAAGUGAAUGUACCGUUUUACAUUUUUUACAUAGCAUAAACAUUUUUUUUUAAUUUUAUGGCCACAGCAUAUGGAAGUUCGUGGGCCACGGAUUGAAUCUGAGCCUCAGCUGAGAACUACAUCAAGGCUGCAGCAACGCCAGAUUUUUUAAGCCCAUGUGCCAGGCCAGGGAUCAAACCCAUACCUCAGCAGCAACCAGAGCGACUGCAGUCUGGUUCUUAACCCACUACAACAUGGCAGGAACUCCAGGAUGGACAUCUUUCCAUAUGCGUAUUUUCCAUCUGUAUAUCUUCUUUGUUGAAGUAUCUAUUUAGAUCUUUUGCCUUUUUUUUUUUUUGCUUUUCGUAGGGCCGCGCUCACGGCAUUUGGAAGUUCCCAGGCCAGGGUUCAAAUCGGAGCUUCAGCUGCCAACCUGCACCACAGCCACAGCAACGUGGGAUCCCCGACCCACUGAACAAAGCUAGAGAUCAAACACACAUCCUUAUGGAUACUAUUUGGAUUGAUUUCUGCUGUGCCACAAGGGGAACACCUGCCUAUUUUUUAAUUGGGUUGUUUCCUUAUUGUUUUGUUUGUUUGUGUCUUUUGUCUUUUUAGGGCCACACCCAAAUCAUAUGGAGGUUCCCAGGCUAGUGUUCAAAUUGGAGUUGUAGCUACCAGCCUAUGCCACAGCCACAGAAACACCAAAUCCGAGGUGUGUCUGUGACCUACACCACUGCUCACGGCAACACCAGAUUCUUAACCCACUGAGUGAGGCCAGGGAUGGAGCCCUUGUCCUCAUGGAUCCCAGUCAGGUUCAUUAACCACUGAGCCAUGACGGGAACUCUGGUUUGUUUCUUUAUUUUUGAGCUGUAAAGAAUUUUUUGGAGAAGUUCCUAUCGUGGCUCAGUGGUUAAGGAAUCCAACUCGGAACCAUGAAGUUGCGGGUUCGAUCCCUGGCCUUGCUCAGUGGGUUAAGGAUCUGGCUUUGCCAUGAGCUGUGAUGUAGGUUGCAGACUCGGCUCGCAGCUCGGAUCCUGAGUUGCUGUGGCUCUGGUGUAGGCUGGCAGCUGCAGGUCUGGUUUGACCCCUAGCCUGGGAACCUCCAUAUGCCGUGGGAGUGGCCCUAGGAAAGGCAAAAAGACACACACAGACACACACACACACACACACAAAACAGUGUCUUUCACAAAGCAGAAGUUUUUUAUGUUAACAGAGUCCAACUUAUCAGUUCAAUUCUUUCAUUCAUGGAUUGUGCUUUUGGUGUCGUCCUGAAAUUUCAUCACCAAAUCCGAGGAUAUCUAGAUUUUCUACGUUAUUUUCUGGAAGUUUUGCAGGUUUGUGUUUUACAUUUAGAUCUAUGAUGCAUUUUGAGUUACUUUUUGUGAAAGGUGUAAACUCUGUGUCUAGGUUCAUUUUUCACAAACCAAUUUCCAAUUGUUCUAGCUCCAUUUACUUAAAAGAAUAUCUUUUCUCCAUUGAAUUGCCUUUACUCCAUUGUCAGCAACCCCUUGACUGUAUUUGUGUGGGUCUAUCUUGUAGCUCUCUGUAUAGUUCACUGAUUUAUUUGUCUACUCUUUCACCAGUCCCACAGUCUUGAUUAUUGUAGCUUUACAAUAAGUCUUUAGGCCAUAGAAUGUCAGUCUUCCAACUUUUUUCUUCUUCCUUAGGGUGGUAUUGACUAUUCUGGGCUUUCUUCCUUUCCAUAUAAACGAGUAUAGUCAGUUUGAUGAGAUACACCAAUUAAUUUCCUCCAAGUGAGGAUUGAGAUCAAUUCCCAUUGGGCCCCCUGUCACCAGAGAAUGAAGAGAGAGGUAAGUGCCAACUAGCCUACCUCUCAUCAACUUGUUUCACUUUGUCGCUGCUGCAUGGGAAUGGAGGUACCAUAACUCUGGACAAACUGACACUACUCCUUCAGGGGGUUCUGAGCAUGAGGCCCACAUCCCUGGUGUGAGAGGAUGGAUGGAGUUCAAGUCCUCAUUCAACCCUAUUGAAAACUGUUCUGACUGUGUUUUCUUAGAUUUUGUGUUUGUUUGACACCCAUCCUUCACUAGGCCAAUUAUAUUAACUGCUUUUUUAUUUUUAUUUUUUUAUUUGUGAUGCUCUGGUAUUUGGGUACCUUAUGAAACAUAAGAAAAUAUAGUUAAUAAAAGUAAUUCCUGGAGUUCCCAUCAUGGCUCAGUGGAAACAAAUCUGAUUAGCAUCAUGAGGAUGCAGGUUCAAUCCCUGGCCUCGCUCAGUGGGUUAAGGAUCCAGCAUUGCCAUGAGCUGUGGUGUAGUUUGCAGACAAGGCUCAGACCUUGCGUUGCUAUGGCUGUGGUAUAGGCCAGAAGCUACAGCUCCAAUUUGACUCCUAGUCUGGGAACCUCCGUAUGUCACAGGUGCAGCUCUGAAAAGACAAAAAAAAAAAAAAAAAAAAAAAAAAGUAAUUCCUAAAGAUAAUAACAACUUGCCUAAAAGCUCGUCUUCUUUCACUAAUUGGAGUCUUCCUAUGUUUCUUUGGUGUGUUAUGUUGCCAAAGAUAAACAAAGCUGGACACUUUAAGUAGUAAGAACUGUUUUUACUCAGUAAAAAAUACUAUUACAGGAGAGAAGUGUUCCACUUUGAUUUAAUGAGAAGUGACUUCACUUUAAAGAGAGAAUGAAGGCAUGGAAGGAGUCAGCAGAGACUUAGGAUAGUCAGACAAAGUCAGAAAAAUGAAAAAUUACAAAAAGCAGGAAGCAGAGGUUUGUCCCUGUAAAACUCAUCUGGUUUUGCCAAUUGGUACUUAUUGAAGUUAAGCUCCUCCCCUCCAACAGAGGCUGGGAAACAAGGAGCCUGUCUUUCUUCAGGUAUUAACUGGAACUUAUUACCAGUAAGUUCUUUUGGCAUCCUUGAGUUUUCUCAAGCAGACACACUAAGGGGGGAUGGGGUCAUCCCAGGGAUGUGGCCUUGGACUAUUAGAAACUAUUUUAGUGGGUUGGUUUUUUUUUUUUCCAGUCUUUAUAGACCAAGGUUGAAGCCUAAUCAAGAAAGGGCUCUGGGACCUCGGUCAGAGUUUGGUCAAGGAGAGAAUCUCAGACAAUGUCCAGUGGGUUUUAGUUAUAAGAGGCAGGACCUGAGAAAACAAGGCAACUCCAUCUUGGCGGAACCAGAAUUCCUCAGCAUUAGAAGAUUUGAAAUCUCUCCAGAUGAUUCUAAUAUGCAACGAACUUUGAGAACCACAAGACAAAGACCAAAACUGCCCUCCCUUGUUUCAAUAACGCCCCCCCGCCCCAAAAAUAAGUUCCUCUAAGGAGAGUGCAUGCUGUGGUGUGUGUGCAUGUAAGUACAUCUGUACAUAUGUGCACAUACAUGCACACACCAGCGUGAGAGAUAGAGAGGAGGCCUUUUUGUCUCAAGCAAAAGAAGAUAGAAAGUGCUUAGAGCUAUGGAAAUGUACCAAGCUGCCUUUGUUUUAGUGAGGGGAAGCAAGAGGGGUGCUAGCAGAAUUCAACCCCAUAUCCAUUUAUGUGGCCGUAAAAAGGAGAGAGGGAUGCUUCUUGAGGUUAUGGUUUGAGGGGUCAUAUUCAUGCUAGAUCUUGUUGAUCCAGUUCUGGCCCUCACAGUUUUCUUUGCUGGAUGCUUCCUGCCUGAAACUAAGAAAGUGACUCUCGGUCUCUCUGCAAUUGCUCAAAAUUCAUCUGGAAAGCACUGCUUUCUGGCCUGACUUUCCCAGAACUCAUUAAGCAUGGUUCUAUUGUUUCUUUUAUGAUUCAUUUAGAUCCUAACGGUUAUUUCAUGCAAAUGCAAAUGCAGAAGCCAGAAGGGGGAGAACUCCUUUCUGAAGCCAAGCAGUGGCCUCUGGAAUGCUAAAGCUUCUGAAAACUGAUCCAAACUAUCUCUGGGUUCUUGGGCUCCAUCUCCAGAAAAGAACAUUUUUCUAGACUGAGUGCUGCCUGAAAGGCUGUUUGACAUUUCUGGCUGUGAAAAGAAAAGGCUAGGUGGGGCCUGAGGCUUCCCUAGAGGCAGCAGUAGAUGUUGGCUUGAAGCAAGAUCGUAAUUCUCUGCUCAGGAAUUGAACCUGGGCAGCCUGAAUGAAAACGAGGA